rnacentral:rRNA from 1 species
AUAGCGUAUAUUAAAGUUGUUGCAGUUAAAAAGCUCGUAGUUGAACUUCUGUACAUGUCCGGUUCUGGCUCCGGUCAAGCCGUGACGUGUGCAUCCGCUUGCAAGCCUAGACUGGCCUUCACUGGUCAACUAGGGGAGUAGGCCUUUUACUUUGAAAAAAUUAGAGUGUUUCAAGCAGGCAAUGGCUCGAAUACAUUAGCAUGGAAUAAUGGAAUAGGACUUUUGUCCAUUUGGUUGGUUAUUGGACAUGAGUAAUGAUUAACAGGGACAGUUGGGGGCAUUAGUAUUUAAUUGUCAGAGGUGAAAUUCUUGGAUUUAUUAAAGACUAACUUAUG